rnacentral:rRNA from 1 species
GUAGUCUCGCACAGAUGCAUAUCAAUAAGCGGAGGAAAAGAAACUAACAAGGAUUCCCCUAGUAACGGCGAGUGAAGCGGGAAGAGCUCAAAUUUGAAAUCUUAAAGGGUUUCCCUUUACGAAUUGUAGUUUAAAGAAGUGUUUUCUGUUGAGGUUUUGGUAAAAGUUCUUUGGAAUAGGACAUCAUAGAGGGUGAGAAUCCCGUAUUUGACCUUUACUUUCAACUUUGUGAUACACUUUCAAAGAGUCGGACUGUUUGGGAAUGCAGUCCAAAAUGGGUGGUAAAUUUCAUCUAAAGCUAAAUAUUGGCGAGAGACCGAUAGCGAACAAGUACCGUGAGGGAAAGAUGAAAAGAACUUUGAAAAGAGAGUUAAACAGUACGUGAAAUUGUCAAAAGGGAAGCGUUUGACACCAGUGUUGUUUUUCUGAAAAUCAAUUAAAGAACUGUUUAUGCUAAGUUGUUUAGACUUUAUCAGCUAUCUGCUUAGUUUUGAGCUUUUCUUUAAUGCACUUUUCAGUUAACAAGUCAACAUCAAUUUCUUUUGCUGUAAAAAAGCUUGAGGAAGGUGGCUUGAGAUUCGUCUUAAGUGUUUAUAGCCUCUUGCCUAUGCAGUCGGAGAGAUUGAGGUCUGCAGCGUAGAUCCUUCGGGGCUAAAUGCAUUUGUGCUAAGUUAUAGCAUUUUAUAGACAACUUGUUGACUAUGAUUUGUCUUGUAGCUUACUCGCUUAUGUUAUUUUACCUACGCUUAGGAUGUUGACGCAUGAGAUAUACGC